GUGCUUGCUUCAGCGGCACAUACACUAAAAUUGGAAUGGUAUAGAGAAGGUUAGCAUGGCCCCUGUGCAAGGAUGACAUGCAAAUUCAUGAAGUGUUCCAUAUUUUU